rnacentral:rRNA from 1 species
CAUGCUAUACAUGCAGUCGAGCGGAGUUGAUAGAGAAGCUUGCUUCCUCUGAUACGUUAGCGGCGGACGGGUGAGUAACACGUAGGCAACCUGCCCUCAAGUUUGGGACAACUACCGGAAACGGUAGCUAAUACCGAAUAAUUGUUUUCUUCGCCUGAAGGAAACUGGAAAGACGGAGCAAUCUGUCACUUGGGGAUGGGCCUGCGGCGCAUUAGCUAGUUGGUGAGGUAACGGCUCACCAAGGCGACGAUGCGUAGCCGACCUGAGAGGGUGAUCGGCCACACUGGGACUGAGACACGGCCCAGACUCCUACGGGAGGCAGCAGUAGGGAAUCUUCCGCAAUGGGCGAAAGCCUGACGGAGCAAUGCCGCGUGAGUGAUGAAGGUUUUCGGAUCGUAAAGCUCUGUUGCCAGGGAAGAACGCUUGGGAGAGUAACUGCUCUCAAGGUGACGGUACCUGAGAAGAAAGCCCCGGCUAACUACGUGCCAGCAGCCGC